rfam:Triticum aestivum genome assembly, contig: Triticum_aestivum_CS42_TGACv1_scaffold_376315_5AL
GAGCUCGUGAUUGGGGAAUUUGAGCAUUAAGUCCUUAAGCCUCUCCCAAGCUUGAGGGGUACUUUCUCCUUCACGCGGCCAAAAAUUAGUUAUAUAAUUCCGAUUAC